AUUAAAGGGACACAUGCACGGAAGCACGUCAUCUUGAAAAACUGGCCCGUUUUUCAAGAUGACAUCAUUAAUGAUGACGUUUAGUGUUGAUAACUAUUCAUAACGUGCGGUCGCGCCCCCUAAUAAUUAAGGCAAAAUGGCUACUCGAGUGGCUAUUUGUAAAUAUUCCUGGUGUUUCUUCACUAAAAAGAGUAUCUUGGGGUGGCAAAAGAGCUAAUUCUGUUCGAGAGAAGUGUUCUACAGAUGCCUACUCCUGGUUCUGCGACUGAUUGCUGUCUCUACUCUCUACGCGUGUCUAAACACGUGUCAUAACUAUUAAUUAAUGAUCUGUUGCACGCCCAAUUUAAUGUUUACUUCCUCUACAGUAACGUGUGCAUUCUAUUUCCGUGAACGUGUCCCUUUAAAUACACAGUACAAGUUCUUUCAGUGUAACUCCUGACUGGUAGGCUGCAUGGAUAAAUGUAGCGCUACUAGUGAUGGAGCAUCUCUCCGGACGGUUUCGACUUUCGAGGAGCAAACUUUGAAUACCGCUUGAGCGGAGGAAGUCAUCAACCUAACUGCUUUUAGAGGCUUUCAAGGCCCCUGCUUAGAAGGAGUGACAUUUUUAUCAGCCCUUUCAAUCCUGACCAAAUAGGGAUGGGAGAUGGCGGGGUCCAUCAACUCUCCCGAGCAACACGGAGAAAACCCGGUGGUAAGGCAUUCCGGGCCACUCACAAUAGAUCUAGCUCAACGUAGCCCCGGCCAAUGAGGGAAUCGACUCCCAGACAUCAAUAAAUUCACUACACUACUGGUGCUGUGGUAACUUCGGGACUUAGUGACAAUAAUAGCACACGUUUGCUCUCGAUAACAAGAUACUUUACAAAGAAGUAUAUAACUGUGGUGUGUAAAUGUACUUUGACCUCACGUGAUCGAGGUCUAUAAAUAAGCAUAGAGUCUCGGGACAUACAGAUGCAUUCAUUCAUUCGUUUCCAAGCAUUCAUUCGUUCGUUGGUUCUUCCGUCUAUCUUCAUCUUAGCACUCCGUACCACUGUUACAGACUAUCGAUUAUAUUCACAAAGAAACAGUAAUUAUCUUGUAUCAUAGUUGUUUAUGAUUUCUGUAACAUUA